rnacentral:rRNA from 1 species
GACGAACGCUGGCGGCGUGCUUAACACAUGCAAGUCGAACGGAAAGGCCCCUUUGGGGGUACUCGAGUGGCGAACGGGCGAGUAACACGUGAGUAACCUGCCCUUGACUUCGGGAUAACUUCAGGAAACUGGGGCUAAUACCGGCUAGGAAUCCUUGCUGCAUGGAGGGGGUUGGAAAGAUUCGGUGGUUUGGGAUGGACUCGCGGCCUAUUAGCUUGUUUGUGGGGUAGUGGCUUACCAAGGCUUUGACGGGUAGCCGGCCUGAGGGGGCGACCGGCCAAAUUGGGACUGGGGAACGGCCCAGGCUCCUACGGGGGGGAACAGGGGGGAAUAUUUCAAAAAGGGCGGAAGCCUGAUGCAACAACGCCGCGGGCGGGAUGACGGCCUUCGGGUUGUAAACCGCUUUCAGCAGGGGCGAAGCUUGUAGUGACGGUACCUGCAGAAGAAGCACCGGCUAACUACGUG